CCCUGCCUCUCCCAGGUCACCUUUAUCUGUGACCUGCUGCUGCUGUAUGUGGAUAGAGAAGCCCAUUUCUACUGGAGGACAAAGUAUGAGGAGGCAAAGGCCCCGAAGGCAACCGCCAACUCUGUGUGGAGUGAGCUGGCCCUUGCAUCCCAAGCCCGACUGGCCAAGUGCCUUAGACAGAUCUCAGCACCUGCACCCACGGCCACUGCUGCUGGGAGUCAGACACAGACACCAGGAUGGCCCUGUCCAAGUUCUGACACCCACUUGCCAGCCCAUUCCUGAAGCCCGUAGCCGUUCCCUGCUGGUUGAGAGUUGGGGGCUGGGGAGGGUGGGGCCCUGCCUGGGGAUCUCAAGGAUGAGGCCCCAGCAUGGAGGAUUGGGGGUAGAAUUCCACCCUUGAACCCCAGCAGACAGUCCCUCCCCUGACUCCUGCCUUAGCAGGAUGCUGCCUCGUGGAACCACAGAAGUCAGCCACAGAAGUCAUACUUAGGAAGCUGUCUGAGCGCAGCUGCUUGAGGGAGGCCCUGACUCUGAUCCCAGGCUGGGUGGAGUGGCUGGAAGGAAUGGUUCCAAACACCACCACCGAGAUCUCCCUCAGGCUGGCUGGGUUUUGCAGCUGGAAUCGCCUCUUGGUCCCAGGGCGGGGCAGGGAAUUCUGAUUGUCCACCCCAGGGAGGCAAGGGGCUGCUUUCCAUUGUGGGUACCUGGUGAUCAGGACAUGCUGUGGAGGGCCAGGGGUGGGGCUGAGGCUGGGCUGACAUCUGGAAUCAUCUGCCACCUGGAGCCUCAGUAAAAUGCCUGGGGUCCCUGCUGCCUCUCAAUCCCCAGAGCCAUGUCCCUUGGGAGCUGGGCUCUGAGGGGCUAGGGUGGGAGAGUGUGGCCCCUGAGGCCUGGGUAUCCAAGGAGGGGCACAUGCACCUGAUUCUCCUUGGAGCCCAGAGAAAGCUGAUGUCAUGGCUGGAGAAAGUCGUGGAGUAAAGCCAGCAAAGCCA